rnacentral:rRNA from 1 species
UACGUAGGGUGCGAGCGUUGUCCGGAAUUAUUGGGCGUAAAGGGCUCGUAGGCGGUCUGUUGCGUCGGGAGUGAAAACUCAGGGCUUAACCCUGAGCCUGCUUCCGAUACGGGCAGACUAGAGGUAUGCAGGGGAGAACGGAAUUCCUGGUGUAGCGGUGAAAUGCGCAGAUAUCGGGAGGAACACCGGUGGCGAAGGCGGUUCUCUGGGCCUUACCUGACGCUGAGGAGCGAAAGCGUGGGGAGCGAACAGG